CCUAUUUCGAGUUUUGAAUGCUAAAAAAUGCAGAAAUGACCAAAUUAAUGCUAAUUAGUACCCACUUUAACCAUCUUUAAUUCAAAAUCGGCUUGAAAAUCGCACUAGUCGCUUAAUUGUCUUAUAUAUAGUUUUUUGCGAUCUUUCUAGUGGUAUAGUUUAUUUUUUGUAUAAGAGAACAUGAAAUUUUUCUCAAAUUUUUGGCUAUAAAGCAAAAAUCAGAAGUGGUAACACACACAAUCUUAUUCACCAAGGCCUGAACUAUAAGAAAAUGCCUAUUACCAGCUUCUAACAUAUAGUUGCCAUCAAACUCUCUUUAGAGGCACUUUUUGCCAUCUUGGCCGGCCGACUAACUUACUUCCAAUCAUUUUCAAAAGUCGUUGGGACACUUGCGGAGUUCAGUAGAUCACCAGGGGUCGGUUGUUUAAACGUCUAUUAGCUUUAUAACCCUAGGUCAAGCUAAAGUACCAAGC